rnacentral:rRNA from 1 species
UGAGUCCUACGGGGCGCAGCAGUGGGGAAUAUUGCACAAUGGGGGAAACCCUGAUGCAGCAACGCCGCGUGAAGGAAGAAGGCUUUCGGGUUGUAAACUUCUUUUCUCAGGGACGAAGCAAGUGACGGUACCUGAGGAAUAAGCCACGGCUAACUACGUGCCAGCAGCCGCGGUAAUACGUAGGUGGCAAGCGUUAUCCGGAUUUACUGGGUGUAAAGGGCGUGUAGGCGGGACUGCAAGUCAGAUGUGAAAACCACGGGCUCAACCUGUGGCCUGCAUUUGAAACUGUAGUUCUUGAGUACUGG